rnacentral:lncRNA from 1 species
GUAACCCAUGAAAUGUUUUCUAGUGUGUUAGACUCAGAUCUUAGGCACCUGGCUAAACUAACCUGCAGCAGAGAAUCGUGACAGAGCAGCAUCUUAAGCUAGCAAAAUCCCUUUUCUUGUGGCUGAACUAAAAGGACGCUGGCUCAGCUACAAGAUCUUGGAGAAGGAGUCCGAGAGGGCAAGAGUUAACAUCCCUCUGCCCUUAAGGAGAGUCCAUAUGCAGAUGUUCAACAGUUUAAUAAAUUGUUCUGUGCACACUUAUGUUUACCAAGAUGUGAACAUGAGCCCAAAUACUUUCAUGUGGCAAGCGAGGGAGCAAUAGGUAUUAUUCUUCUUCUUUUUUUGUUGAAACUUAAGAACAUUGCUACUAGCAAUAUGGGACACGGGUGGCGCUGUGGUCUAAACCACAGAGCCUAGGGAUUGCCGAUCAGAAGGUCAGCAGAUUUGAAUCCCCACUACGGGGUGAGCUCCUUUUGCUCGGUCCCAGCUGCUGCCAACUUAGCAGUUAGAAAGCACGUCAAAGUGCAAAUAGAUAAAUAGGUACCGCUCCAGCGGGAAGGUAAACAGCAUUUCCGUGCGCUGCUCUGGCUUGCCAGAAGCGGCUUAGUCAUGCUGGCCACAUGACCCGGAAGCUGUACACUGGCUCCCUUGGCCAGUAAAGCGAGAUGAGCGCUGCAACCCCAGAGUCGUCCGCAACUGGACCUAACGGUCAGGGGUCCCUUUACCCUUUACCUUUACUAGCAAUAUAUCACAGCUUGUAUAGCCUACAUAGAGUAGGUGUAUUUAAAAUGAGAGUUGUCAUAGCAAUCUUAGUUAAAAGUAGAAGUUGGCCAAUGUGUCUUCUUAUUUGCUCUUCAAAAUAUGGCAACCCCACACUUGCCUAUCAUGACUGUCUGGUAACCUUUUGAGUUAUCCCCCUCUUCCCCAGGGAACUAAUCUUACGGUAUAUAUUAAAUCCAAAAGAGAAGCGUGGAAUAAGGAGUCCUUUGUAAAAUUGCCCUGCCAUCUGCCUCCUCUUCCCUGGCGGCAAGCCCUAGACUUCAAGAUGGUUGGGAGGAAGGCAAGGAGAGACCAAGUGGGUGAGAGAGAUGGAGAGCAGGAAUAAACAGGCUCCCCACUUAAUGCGAUUUUCACUUGUGGGCACGAGGGCCCAGAACGUUACCCCCACGAAAGUGAGGGAGGCCUAUAUGUGUUUUUAUGUUGUAGUUUUAUGCUGUGAACCACCCUGAGACCUGUAGAUGAAGGGCAGUAGGCAAAUAUAAUUCGUUUUUGCUGUUGUUGUUAGAAGAGGGGGGUCCUCCUCCCCCACCCCAACCAGAUGUCCCCAAAGGCCAAUUCCCACAGAGAUUGUCAGAGGAAAGCAGCUUCUCUCUUCUCCUCCAGUUCUCCUCUCUUCCCCCUUACAUAGCACAGAAGAGCUGAGUAAAAGGUUUACUGGGUGGUUUUUCCCCUUAGAAAAUGUCUGGGUUUAGAGAAGGGCAGGAACAAUAUACAUUGAAUAUAAGAAAGUAAAGGAAAUUGAUUUAAAAACCAUAAAGGAGGAUAUUUAUUCUGAUGAGAGUCAGGGGUCUCAGUCUAGCAUGCGAUGC